ACAUGGCUCACCCUUUGAGAAGGUUUUUUUUUAAGAUUUUAUCUUUUUUUCAUAAAUCUUUUGAAUUUUUAAAUGUUGAGAGAGCCAUAUCUUCAUCCUCUUCUCUCUAUUUUGAUUUUUCACUAUCUUUCUUAUUUUGAGCAAUGGACUUGAGGGCUGUGAUUUUUUUUUUCUUUGCUUUCUCAUCAUUAUUUUACUUCAUAGUUAGCUCAUGAGUUAUAAAAAAACCAAAAAAUUCCUCCA
rnacentral:lncRNA from 1 species